GCUGGAAUAGCUCAAUUGGCAGAGCACCUGACUUGUAAUCAGGGGGUUGUAGGUUCAAAUCCUAUUUCCAGCACCA
rnacentral:tRNA from 1 species